UUUCAUUUUCCUUUGAUUAUAGGAGUGAGAAUGAAAACUAAUUUGAGCUCUGACUCUGUGUGAUCAGACAGCAGCUUCAGAACACUGAAACUCUUAGGGAAGAUGAAGUGUAUUAGUUCUGAGCUAUGGAGAAACUCAUGAUGGAUAAAAGUUCAUAGAAUAACAGAACCCUAUGUGAAGACUGCAUGGGAAGACAAAUCAUCUGAGCAGGAACUAAUGGAAUGGGUGGCAAACUGGUUACAACAGGUUUCAAAAUGAUUGUGAUAUGAUGAAACGUCAAGAUUUCAUCUGCUAUAGAGACUCUCACCGGAUGAGCUUCCAGAAACAUCUCCUUCCAGAAGCUGAAAAUAACUCAAAGCUAAUACAAAAACAACUCCAAAUCAGAGUUGCAAAUAUCAGUAUUUCUGUGUUUUGGCAAUAAGCAAAUAUGGAUACAGUAUCACAUUUUAUUCAUUAGUUUUCUUUAUUCCAAAAUGAGAUUGUUAUAAAAAUGAAUUUGGAGGUUGUCAGAAAAUUGUACUUGGGAGACAUA
rnacentral:lncRNA from 1 species